CCUGGCCCAGGCAGAGCUGCAGUCUGACCACCACUGGCAGCUCUCCUUCCUCCAAAGAAACCCCUGUGGGUCUCAGUGUGUGGAGUAAGACACUGUCCAAGGUAGGACUGUCCUUUAUGUGGGUCAUUUGUGUGGGCCAGCCAGUGGCUAAACAGGUGAUGGCAUAGAGUAUGGUAUAGUCCUAAAAUGCUGGUGUUGGUAUGUUUUCACAGAAGUAGAACUGGGUUUCACAAAGAAAAGCAAGAAAUCUCAAAUGUUGUUCUAUUUGGAGCAAACAGGGACCACACUCAAUGACCUAUUACUAAAUGUAUAUAUGUGUGUUUCCUGAGCCCUGGGUCACUAGAACAAAAGAGAUUGUACAGUGGGUAUGAUUUAUACAGUGAUUUACAGUGAUGGGUUUCACAUGGCCAAAGCAAGGGAACUCUUGUUUCAAUCAAUAUUUCAUACAGGAGCCCAACGUAUAUAACAUAUACAGAACAUAUGCAAAGGGUAUAUUAUAAGCUGAGAUUAGUAUAAAAUCAGGCAUCAAGACAAAUGAGGCUCUUUUGAUGAACCCUGAUCUGUGUAGCGGGGCUCACUGUCACCUUACAUCGGCCUCAGGAUCCCAAUUUUCUUUUGCAUGUGGUUUUGGUUGUACAGUAUCAAGACAAUUCUGAUUUGCAUGGGAAGUUACAAUAUGGGCAGAGAUGGCCAGAGAAACUAAACACUGAAGUCUGCAUUCAAACAAGGAACUGUAGAGCAGGUUAGCUCAUUAAUCUCCUUUGUGAUAAAAAUUUGUAUGUGAACACGUUUGGCUAUGUAGUAUGGGUGUGUGUUACACUUGAAAAUAAUGUACCAAAAAACAAAAUAAAAAUGAACAUCACCAAUAAAGAGA